AACAAGGCGUACCUGCGGACCUGCGGAAGGAUCAUUACAAGUGACCCCGGUUUACCACCGGGAUGUUCAUAACCCUUUGUUGUCCGACUCUGUUGCCUCCGGGGCGAUCCUGCCUUCGGGCGGGGGCUCCGGGUGGACACUUCAAACUCUUGCGUAACUUUGCAGUCUGAGUAAACUUAAUUAAUAAAUUAAAACUUUCAACAAUGGAUCU
rnacentral:misc_RNA from 1 species